rnacentral:rRNA from 1 species
GGUGAACGCUGGCGGUAGGCCUAACACAUGCAAGUCGAACGGCAGCACAGUAAGAGCUUGCUCUUACGGGUGGCGAGUGGCGGACGGGUGAGGAAUACAUCGGAAUCUACUUUUUCGUGGGGGAUAACGUAGGGAAACUUACGCUAAUACCGCAUACGACCUACGGGUGAAAGCAGGGGAUCUUCGGACCUUGCGCGAUUGAAUGAGCCGAUGUCGGAUUAGCUAGUUGGCGGGGUAAAGGCCCACCAAGGCGACGAUCCGUAGCUGGUCUGAGAGGAUGAUCAGGCACACUGGAAGUGAGCCACGGACCAGACGCCUACGUGAGGCAGCAGUGGGGAAUGUUGGACAAUGGGCGCAAGCCUGAUCCAGCCAUACCGCGUGAGUGAAGAAGGCCUUCGGGUUGUAAAGCCCUUUUGUUGGGAAAGAAAAGCAGCAGGUUGAUACCCCGCUGUUCUGACGGUACCCAAAGAAUAAGCACCGGCUAACUUCGUG